rnacentral:rRNA from 1 species
UGCGAGUCGCACGUCUUUGACGUGGCAAACUGCUCAGUAACACGUGGCCAAACUACCCUGUGGACACGGAUAACCUCGGGAAACUGAGACUAAUCCGCGAUAGUGCUCCCAUGCUGGAAGGCAGGGAGCACGAAAUGCUCCGGCGCCACAGGAUGUGGCUGCGGCCGAUUAGGUAGACGGUGGGGUAACGGCCCACCGUGCCGAUAAUCGGUACGGGUCAUGAGAGUGAGAGCCCGGAGACGGACUCUGAGACACGAGUCCGGGCCCUACGGGGCGCAGCAGGCGCGAAACCUUUACACUGCACGACAGUGCGAUAAGGGGAUUCCGAGUGCGGGGGCAUACAGUCCUCGCUUUUCUGUACCGUAGGGUGGUACAGGAAUAAGGGCUGGGCAAGACCGGUGCCAGCCGCCGCGGUAAUACCGGCAGCCCAAGUGAUGGCCGAUCUUAUUGGGCCUAAAGCGUCCGUAGCUGGCUGGACAGGUCCAUUGGGAAAUCCACCUGCUCAACAGGUGGGCGUCCAGUGGAAACCGUUCAGCUUGGGACCGGGAGACCUGAGGGGUACGUCCAGGGUAGGAGUGAAAUCCUGUAAUCCUGGACGGACCAUCGGUGGCGAAAGCGCCUCAGGAGAACGGAUCCGACAGUGAGGGACGAAAGCUGGGGUCUCGAACCGGAUUAGAUACCCGGGUAGUCCCAGCCGUAAACGAUGCUCGCUAGGUGUGACGUAGGCUACGAGCCUGCGUUGUGCCGUAGGGAAGCCGUAAAGCGAGCCGCCUGGGAAGUACGUCCGCAAGGAUGAAACUUAAAGGAAUUGGCGGGGGAGCACUACAACCGGAGGAGCCUGCGGUUUAAUUGGAUUCAACGCCGGAA